CCUACGGGAGGCAGCAGUGGGGAAUUUUGGACAAUGGGCGCAAGCCUGAUCCAGCCAUGCCGCGUGUGGGAAGAAGGCCUUCGGGUUGUAAACCACUUUUGUCAGGGAAGAAACGGCUUUUUCUAAUACAGAGAGCUAAUGACGGUACCUGAAGAAUAAGCACCGGCUAACUACGUGCCAGCAGCCGCGGUAAUACGUAGGGUGCAAGCGUUAAUCGGAAUUACUGGGCGUAAAGCGUGCGCAGGCGGCUUUGCAAGACAGAUGUGAAAUCCCCGGGCUCAACCUGGGAACUGCAUUUGUGACUGCAUGGCUAGAGUACGGUAGAGGGGGAUGGAAUUCCGCGUGUAGCAGUGAAAUGCGUAGAUAUGCGGAGGAACACCGAUGGCGAAGGCAAUCCCCUGGACCUGUACUGACGCUCAUGCACGAAAGCGUGGGGAGCAAACAGGAUUAGAUACCCUGGUAGUCCACGCCCUAAACGAUGUCAACUGGUUGUUGGACGGCUUGCUGUUCAGUAACGAAGCUAACGCGUGAAGUUGGCCGCCUGGGGAGUACGGCCGCAAGGUUGAAACGUCAAAUGAAAUUGACGG
rnacentral:rRNA from 1 species